AUCGCCGCUUUGCCCCGCGACCGCGCGCGCCUCCUCGUCCUCCCCCGCGCCUUUGUUUCCGUCUCCUUCUCCUUUCCCUCCUCUUUUGUGUCGGGCCAGACUCAGCCCCAGAAACCAGCCACCCUGCCGCGUCCGACUGCCAGGGAUCCCUCACGCCGCGAGUACCAGAGAUGUCUCCAAGAGCACCAGCAACCCCAGCUAUCUGGAUCUGAAGUGGAUAUGCUCAGAGACAUCCUGGCCCACCCCAAAGAAGAUGCUGCUGCACUCAGAAGACGCCAGAGCUAGCCACCACCCACACUGCAAGUCUGGAAGCUCUGCAAGGACCCAGCAAGGCAGCCUGCUCAGCGAAGGCUUUGUCUCCUGUGGCAGGAAGAGCAACAUUAAGAACAAGAACCCCGGGCUGGACUACCCCUGAGAUUUAAUGACCAGAGCUGAGACCCCCAAGACCACAAUGACUAUGGAGGGCUGUCAUUACCCUGCCUGACCCUCUAAUGCCUCUCAGUUCAAGGAGGCCACUGAGUGAAACUGAAGGCUGGUUUUCCUUGGAAGCCAGCGGCCCAUCCACCUGCUCCACUUCCCUGCCUCUUGCAGCCUCCGCUCAAACACUGUCGUGGCUUGGCAGCACUACAAGGCAGAGUGAAAACAGAUACUUCUACCCACAUUCCUAUCUCCUCUCAUUUACGCAGAUUAAAUGCUUUCUUUCCUUGUUUUACACUGCUAGGAUUUUCAUCACCCUGUUUUUUCUUUCUCUACAUCAGCUACAAGAAAAAAAAAAGGAGUUACUGAGCAACUAAGAAGUCACAACUGUUUUCAGUUUUAUUAAUGAGUUGUUAUACUUAUUUUAUAGAUAGAGAAUUACCAUUAUAACAUUGCUCCAUUGCCCACUCAUCCAUUCACGCAUCUGUCCAUCCGUCCAUCCACCCAUUUGUCCACUCCCCAAAUGGUCAUCAAUUGUCUACUGUGAGCCAAGCAAAGUGCUCCUUACUUUGGACUCUGAAUCCAGUGCUCUUUCUACUUCACCAUAGACACAUGCCCCUUGAGUAUAAGGGAGCUUGAUUCAUUCAACAAAUAUCUGUUGUCCAUCUCCAAUGUACUGGCAUAUUCUAAAUGCAUCCAACAAAAACCAAAAUGAAAAAAAAGAAAAACCCAUUCCUUCAAGGGGAUUGCAUUCGGACUGGGGGAGACAGAUAAAAUAAAAAUAAUGAAGUCAAAUAUAUAUGUUAGUGACAUGUGCCAUGAAGAAUAAUGCCCAAUAGUAUUUCAGGGGCUGCCAAGCUGCUCUCCUGUUUCCUCUUCCUUGGGGCUGAUUGCAUCCCAUGAUGUGCCCAGGUUUUGAGAUGCUCCUCGUGAAUGAAAAUAGGACUGUCUGGUUCCUCCAUCCAUAGCAAGGGAGCCUAGACAGAAAUAACUUCUGUGCAUUUCUCCAGCUACAUUUAGGGAAAACUAGAAAAUACAGAAAUAUAUCAAGAAGAAAAAAAAUUUAAAAAUGACCCAAAAUCCCACCAACCAGAGACAGCUAUUAAUGAUUGUGGUAUAUUUAUUGAAUUUACUAAAGUCAUGCUAUACGCUAGGCACUGUGGAGGGACUGCAGAAAGACUUCAAGGACUGCACCGUCUUGUUAGAAAGAUGCCUAGACAACAUUUGAGAAACGCUGAUCAUGUCUGAUGACACAUAACUGCUAACAGUUACAUGGAAUUUUCUAUAUGCUAUAUACAAACAUACAAAUAUAUGUAUGUAUAUUUACUCAGCUCUCACAACAGCUACUACUGUUAUUAUGAAUCCUGUUUUAUAGUGAGAAAACUGAAACAUGGAGAGGUUAAGUAAUUUGCCCAAGAUCACAUAGCUACUAAGUGGUGGAACUGUGAUUAGAAUCCAGGCAUUCAGGCUCCAGAGUUCAUACUCUUCACAUACCACAUCUAUCUUGAAUAUAACAAUGUAGAGAAAAAGAAUUAUAGCAAGCAUAUGUCUAGGUAAGCAUUUUCCAGAAGUGACUGUUUUUUUGCAUUGGGUUUGUAAACUUUCAACAAUAAAGCAGGUUGGACUUUAUAUCAGUCAAAGCAGAAUAUUCUGAUGUCACCUUCCCCAAUGUUUAGGAUGUUAAUGAGAAUUGCUAAUCCAAGAGAAGAAAAUAAUCUCAUCUAAUUUGGGUAAGUCAAUUAUUUGAAAGUAGAAGAACCACCCUUCCACCUCUCUUGUUCUAAGGAACCUCUGGGGGAAGUACUGGAAAAAUAAUGCUUUCUAAUAAGCCCAAUAGGGCUUUUGAUUUGUAAUAACUAUUUUAAUAAGUAUCAGUUCAAUUCCUAUUAUUUUUAAGAAGUUCAUUGAAUGAAUUAAAGAACAAAUGAAUGAGCAAUGCUUUAGGCUAUAGGCUUUCAGAGGACGUAAUUCUAUGAAACAGACUCAGUGGUAUGCUGGCACCAGCUCCUACUUGCGUCUCUUUUCAACUUUGUGUUCAGUGACUUUGCCUUGGUAGCUUGACAUCAGCCAUGGUGGGAAUAUUUAAACUAAAUAACUGAGAAAAUGAUUCAUAUUAGAGAGCUUUCUUUUUUCCCGGGAACUAAGUGUUAAACAUUUACCAGCACACCACUGCCUAGACUUGUUAGGAAAUUCACAAGUGAGAAGAAAUUCUGUGAUUCCAGGAGAUGAAAGAGGGAAGUGUAAUGAGAAUAUCAACUUGAGUAUUUUAUCCGUUGCUUUCUUUAAUUGGGUCAUUUCAGAGGGUGGGUAGAUUUUGUUAAGACAGUUGAAAUAUUUAGGUAGGUAGAGGGGUGAGUGCAGUUGAAGAGUAAAGGCUGUUUGGGGCAGACAAAAGAAUGAUAGCACUCUUUCAAGUGCUCUGCCACCAGCAGUAAAAGUCGGGAGAAGGACCUAGCACCAGGACACGUGAUCUGUCCGGCGUAAGCGAGUGCUGAGUCAAAGGCCUGCAAUUCAGGCCCCUGCUCUGGGGCACGGUCAGUUUCAGCCAGGCCCAACUCUCUUUCCCAGGUCCAUGGCGUGGAUGGCACCCAGAAUCCAGCAGGGGAGUGCUGGUGGAUACACCUGGGAGGGCCUGGUGGAGGAUCAUUUGCGUGCAGAAAUAAGGAAAUAGACAUAUUUGAGCUGGAAGAAAAUCUUACAUGUCUGAUCCAAUUCUCUCAUUUCACAGAUAAGGAAAAGGGGCCCCAAAGAGUGAAGAGGGGAUGUCCUGAGGUCAUGAGGCUGGCUUACAGCAAGGAUCUGGACCAGACAGCAGGGUGGGACCCUCAGCUGUCCCCAUACUUGCUGCUUGAUAUUGGAUAGGUUAUUUAGGCUCUAUGUGUUUUCUCAUAAACACAUAGAGGUUAGGUAAAAAUGGUGGUGUGAGAAUGAACUAAUACAUGUAAAGAGCUUGCAUGUAGUAAGCUCUCAAUAAAUAUUAAUAAUACUGGGCACAGUGGCUCACACCUGUAAUCCCAGCACUUUGAGAGGCCAAGGCGGGUGGAUCCCUUGAGGUCAGGAGUUUGAGAACGCCCUGACAAACAUGGUGAAACCCCAUCUCUACUAAAAAUACAAAAAAUUAGCCAGGCAUGGUGGUGGGUGCCUGUAAUCCCAGCUGCUCGGGAGGCUGAGGCAAGAGAAUCACUUGAACCUGAGAGGUGGAGGUUGCUUUGAGCCCAGAUCAUGCCACUGCACUCCAGCCUAGGUGACAGAACCAGACUUCAUCUCAAAAAAAAAAAAA
rnacentral:lncRNA from 1 species